rnacentral:lncRNA from 1 species
CAAGGUGGAGGAUUAGCCUAGUGAGCCGCGGCACCGGCCCAGGAGCUUCUUUGUGUUUCCCACAUGGGUAGCAGGGACCCAGGGACUUGGGCCAUGCUUUGCUGCUUUUUUGGGCCCAUCAGCUGGGAGCUGGAUUGGAAGUGGAGCAGCUGGGACUCAAACCGACACCCAUAUGGGAUGCCGGCACUGCAGGCAGAGCCUUAACCUGCGGUGCUACAGCGCUGGCCCUCAAUCACAUACAUUUAUUUCACACACGAUUCACAAGACAUGGAAGCCACCAGAAAUGAGGGCUUCUGUUCCCCCUCACCAGAUAAACAGAUGAUCUGACUUUUUAAAAUGCUUGGUUUUGUGACCCACAUAACAAGAGUCUGAGGAACCUCAUCCCGCUGGGUGAUCAGCCUAAAAGAGUCCCCCAAAUUGUUUUUCAGGCCCCGGCUUCAACCGACAAGAACCAUCUGGAAUGAGCCCUGCCCACAGCCAGGAUGACAGAGCAUGUACACUGCAAUCAACACGCAAGCCGUCUAAUAGGGAGUGGAUGAAGCUGUGUACUCAGGCUCCAGAACACAGCCAAGAAAUAAGACUGAGUGAACUAGGGCUGAGCAUGUCUACCCAGCUACAG